rnacentral:rRNA from 1 species
UAUGUAGGGGGCUAGCGUUGUCCGGAAUCAUUGGGCGUAAAGAGCGUGUAGGCGGUUCGGUAAGUCCGCUGUGAAAGUCCAGGGCUCAACCCUGGAAUGCCGGUGGAUACUGUCGGGCUAGAGUCCGGAAGAGGCGAGUGGAAUUCCUGGUGUAGCGGUGAAAUGCGCAGAUAUCAGGAGGAACACCAAUGGCGAAGGCAGCUCGCUGGGACGGUACUGACGCUGAGACGCGAAAGCGUGGGGAGCAAACAGG